UAAGCACGGAGACGGCUUGACCUUGAGAUUCAGAAGCUGAAGAGAUCCCGUAGUGGAAAGCUUGGCGGAGGAGAGACGACGAUUGAAGCUUGAUGGCUGCGACGGCGAGAAGCACUCCGGAGCUUCAGGACGUGCUGUCACGGCUCGAGCUGAGACCACGACGGUGAUUCUGAGCACAGCCACGGAAUGAUGACGACGACGGCACGUCGAGAUGUCGAGAAGAAGAAAUGAGGAACUCCACGCGGGUUGAGCAACUCGGGAAGCUGUACCCGCUCGCACCGGAAGAGACGUCAACACCAGUCUCACGCGGGGAAGGACGACGCGGGGAGCUGUACCCGCUCGCAUGAACUGAAGGCGUGGCGACGGCUUAACGCGGGGAAGCUUACGCGGGUGGAGCGACGAUCCCUACCCCGCGCCGAGACUUAUCUUUAAUCGAAUUUUAAUGUUUUUUUAAGGGUUUUUUUAGACUUUUUAAUGGGAACCAUUAGGUUUACCAAAGACAUAUAAAUACUCUUGUAAUCCUAAAGUUAGGAUCUAUCUUAUUUUCUAUCUAAUCACAAAGAACUUUGAGUUUAAAGAUCUAAUUUUGAUCAUUAUCUUUUGUGAUUGCUUAGAUUAUAUUGAUCACUAAUCAUGAUUAACACCAAAUCAUCAUUGAUUCUUGGGUUUAUCAUGAUAAUUAGUGAGUAGUCAUCUUUGGAUUCAUGGGUUAGGGAGAUUAAGGGUGAUUAAGCUAGAUCUAAGGUGUUUUAGUAUAGAUCCAUCUUGUUCCUUGCUAGUAGAGUGAUUUUAAUGCCAUUUUAGAGUUGACCUCUCUAAAGUUGAGCUUUAGGCAUUUUAUACCCGGAAGGUGUUUGAUGAAAUGCCUGAACCAACUCUCCUAAGCUUUUAACAUUCUUUACCAAAGAGAUUUGUUGUUAAAGGUGUUAAGAUGACUAGUAGACUUGAGAUUAUUGAUUACUUAGAUAACAUUCAACCAAAGGAAUUUGAUGCUUGAGUUAUCUAGGUAAAUGAGCAUUCAUCUAGGGAUAUAGUUUGUUUAGGAUUGUGUCUAGGUCUAAGGUAGAUAUAGAUUGGUUGAAAGUUGACACCUUUAGGUUGAAUCUUGAUCACCCAAGAUCAAUUCCCAUAGCCCAUGAGUUCUCCCAUCUUAUAAGAAAGAAAGCUUUGUCAUUUAUUACAUUUUAGGUAGAAAUCUAGUUUAAAAACAUCUCAAAAACUGGUAGCACUUAGAUUAAGCAUGGUCUUGCAUUCUCUUUGCAUCAUAAUCACUUAGAACUGGUUUGACAUCCUUUAUACUACAACAUUUGAUUAGGAGCCUUGAAACUCCUAACAUCAAAUUGGCGCCGUUGCCAAAUUCUAAGUUGAUUGUGACAUUGGGAUUUAGUCAUUUGCUUAAGACUAAGUCAAUUUUUAUUUAAUUGUGUUAUUGCUUCUCUUUGUCCUUCUCCCUUUGCAUUUCAGGUGUAUGAACACAAGGAGCAGAGGUCCAACAAACCUAGUUCCAAGAGUUGAAGACAUUAGAGAACUUGAGAGGGAGAUAGCAAGACAAAGAAGAGAAGUAGAGCAAAAGGCUCACUUGCAAAGGUUGGGGCUUGAUAUGGAGAAUCUGCCUCAAGAUGGUGAAGCCCAAGGAGGCAAUGGUCCAAGAGUUGAUCCUUUUAGACCACAGCGCCAGCCACAACACCCACAGCGCCAAGCUCGUGCCAUUGGAGCCUAUGAUCAACCUCACAUUCAUGGUCAUAGGUUGGGAAUCAGAGCACCAGCUGUGAAGAACAACAACUUUGAGAUCAAGUCAGGGCUGCUCAACACUAUAGAGAACAACAAGUAUCAUGGUCUUGCUGCUGAAGAUCCUUUUGAUCACUUGUACAAGUUUGAUAAGUAUUGUGGCUUGUCCAAGAUAAAUGGUGUUUCUGAAGAUGCUUUCAAGCUGAAGCUAUUCCCUUUCUCUUUGGGAGACAAGGCACACCAAUGGGAGAAGACUCUUCCAAGUGACACUGUCACUACUUGGGAUGAGUGCAAGAGAGCUUUUCUUGACAAGUUCUUCUCUACUUCAAGGACAGCUAAGAUCAGGAACGAAAUCUCUGGGUUUCAACAGAAAGGUCUAGAGAGCUUCAGUGAAGCAUGGGAGAGGUUCAAGGGCUAUUGGUCUCAAUGCCCUCAUCAUGGUUUCAGCAAAGAGAGUUUGCUUAGCACCUUCUAUAGAGGAGCUCUACCACAGUGCAGAAACAGACUUGAUACUGCCAGCAAUGGUUUCUUCUUGGGAAGAACUGAGGAAGAAGCAGAGGAACUGGUAGAGAACAUGGCCAAGAGUGACUCAGUCUACAGUGAGGAGCAUGAUAGGAUGAACAGAAGUGAUGAUCAGCAGACAAAGAAAGAGUUGAAGUCUCUCCAAGCCAAGUUGGAUCUACUUCUUGCAGAAAAGUCUAAGCAGGAGAAGAUGAACUUUGUUGGUGACCAGAAACAAGAGGCACCUCCAGUGAUCAAUGAGGUUGAUGGUUUAGAAGGCCAAGAGGAGCUGUGAUUCAUCAAUGCUAAUGGCACAUGGUACAAGAAAGAGCCCAACUUUCAGUACCAAAACAACUUCCAGCAAAGACCACUCUACAACAAUCAGCAAGGAGGUUACCAAGCCAACCAGUCUCCUCAGAUUCAAGGAAGCUCUUCUCAAGCUCAAGCUCCAGAUUCAAGUGUGGAUUCUAUGUUCAAGCAACUCUUGGAAUUUCAGGCCAGAAAUGAAAAGACCAUGAUUUAUGAGUUCAAGAACAUCCAUGCAAAGAUUGAUGGGAACUAUUCUGACCUCAACAACAAGUACAUGCAACUUGCCUCUCAUCUAAAGGCUUUGGAGAGUCAAGUUGCUUCUAUGUCUUCAUCCUCCAAGCAGCCAAUGGGGUCUCUACCAGGGAAACCAGAAAAUAACUCCAAGGAGUCUUGCAAUGUUGUUUUCUCUACUACUUCUCCAAAGAUUGAGCUGAGUGAUCAUGAGAAAGAGGAGGAUGAGAUUGAAAGACUGGUAUAUGGAACUGAGUUCGGGGAAGUUGAGAGAUUUGUUGUAGCCACAGCUGAAGCACAGAUUGUGAAGAAUGCUGCCACAAAGGUUGAAGCAACGAAUCUGCAAAGAGCUGAGCACAAGGCUGAAAAACAAGUUGAGAAGAGAGCUGACAACAAGCUGAAAGAGGUUAAGCUAGAGGAAGCAACUAAGGUUGAGUUAUCACCCUAUGAUCAACUCCCUUUCCCCCAAAGAAUUCUCACCAAAGCUCAGAAGAAGGUGCUCUCUAAGUUUAGAAACGAUCUUAGUGAUGUUGGGGUCAGGCUUCCAGAAAUCUCGGGUAUGCGUGAAGCUCAUAUCCAGAUGAUGCUCAUCAACGACAUUCUAGACCACCAAGCUGAAGUGGCCGAGCUUCUGAACAUCUCCAUUCUGAAGAUCGAUCCACCAAUCCCUUCAAAGUCCCUCCUUAAGAUUGAGUCUCAAGGGAUGUUCACAUUGCCUUGCUACCUUGGUAAGCUCUUUUUGGAUGAUGCUCUUGUUGAUUCUGGUGCAAGUGUGAAUGUGAUAUCAAUGGAGAUGAUGAAGAGUCUAGGGAUUGAGAGCAUGGAGCCAAACACAUCUUCCCUACAUUUUGGAGAUUCCUCUUCUACAACUCCUAUUGGUCUCAUCAAGGAUUUCCCUUUGAAGAUUGGAGAAUGCACCAUUCCUAUAGAUCUCACUGUUCUGAAGAUGGCAACUGAGAAGAGAGUCCCAUUGAUCCUUGGCACUCCAUUCCUUACAACAGUGGGAGCGUGCAUAGACUUUGCCAACAAGAAGGUCACACUCUUAAAUGUGAACAAAGCUGUCUCUUAUCCACUACAAUCCCCAAAGAUGAAUGCUGAGUAUUGUGGAACAAUCACUUGUGGAGCAUCCUCCAUUGAGAAGACCAAGGCUGAAGGGGUUGGUCUUAAGAAAGAAGGUCUUGCUAGAGAGUCCUCUAAAGAGUUGUGUGAUAAGCACUUGGAAAGUGCUAAAAAGAAAGAGGUGAGUAGAGCCACAAAGCCUGUUCAUGACAACAAGAAGAUUGUGAAAGAACCUCAUCUUCCACCUCUUGAUAAGACUCCUCACACACUCACUCUCCACCCAAUGAAGCUUAAGGAUGGGGCUAUUGAGUAUAAGAUCAAAUGCAAGGGAAAGUCUACACCAUUCUCAAGUGCAAAGGCCAUCAUCACUCCACAACUCCAAGAUGAUCCAAUCAAGCUUCAAGAGCUUCUCUCUCAAGUCCUCACCAUCACUCUUGAAGGAGGGAAAGAUCCUCCUCUUCACUAGCCAAUUGGAAGGAAAGUCAAGCUAGAGACUUAAAACAAGCUCACUUGGGAGGAAGUCUCAUGGUAUCCUUUGUAUAUAUUUUUAUAUUUCUUUUUCUUGCUUUAGUGUGUUUGAAUAAGCUUAGGGACAAGUUUGGGGGAAUUCUCAAAAAUUCCCAAAGGUCAUGUCAAAAAUUCCAAGGUGACAACAAGUCUUCCCUCUUCAUUUUCCUUCUCUUAUGACAGCCAACUUCAAGUAAGUGCAUUCCACCUUUGUAAAUAUUUAGUUUUCAUGUUUAUCCUUUCCCUUAGAUCUCUUCUUUGAGCUUAUUCUCACACAAGAGACUGUGUGAAGUAAGUUUGGGGGAGAGUCUACAAUCUCACAUUGUGUUUUGUUUUGUCUACUUGUCAUUAAGUCUCAUGCAUUGCAUUGUGAAUAAUUAUUUGCAUAGAAAAUCCAUAAAAAUUAAAAAAUUUCGAAAAUCACAAAAAUAAGCAUUUAGUUGCAUCAUUUGCAUCUUUAGGAUUGAGUCUAGAAGCAUUUAGAUUGCAUUCACGCAUUGGGAGAAACCUUGUAAAGAACACAUAUCUAGAACUCAAUUUGACAUCCUAGCUAAACAUAUCAAGUAGCUUAAGCAUCUUUUGAAAAAGCUUGUAAGCUUCGAGCCUUGAAAACUCUUCUUGAAACUUGUUUGCUUGCUUGAUAUUGGCAUUGUUUUUAAGAUCAGCUCCAAUAUAAACUUGGCUUGAAUGAACUUAAUCUCUCUUGCAUAUAGGCAUUUGCAUACUUGAUCAUGGAUCUCAUACACAUUUGGGUUAUCUUAUUUCCUCAUACCUAUCUUUGUUAACCCAAAUGGCACUCCCUACCCUAAAACCCUAGCCAUUCUUUGAGACCAAACAUUGAAUUGCAUGAGUGAAGCCUCUUUUGAUAGCUUGUCAUGUGCAAAAUCUUGAGAGUAUUGGAGGCGACAUAGAUUUAUUCUCAUCUCUAGCUAGCAUAAUGAGUUAGCAUUUAGGGAUGGUGAGAGGGGUUUGUAUGUUCUAAAUUUCAUAUCUUGGGUUUGGAGAGUGAGAAAGAUGAGAGAUGAGCAAAAGAGUAUGAAUAGAAAAGAAUACUCUAGGGAUAAAAAAAAAAAAAUAACAAGCUUUUGAUUUUGCAACAAAGGACCUUCCCCUUUAAAAAAAAAAAAAAAAAAAAAAAAAAAAAAAAGAGAAAAGAAAAGAAAAAGAAUCAAAGAGAAGUUGGGGAAGGAAAUGAGAAAGAGUUAGAGCUAAGUGUUGUAAAGAAAAUGAAUUAAAGUCUCUAGUUGGUUAAGUCAAAAGAAAAAAAAAAAAAAGAGUUGUUCAUUGGGUGAGUGAUGUGAGUGGGUUUUAUUUUGGUUUUGAGAUGAUGAUAAAAGGGUAGAACUUGUAAUCACUUAGGAAAAGGGUAGAAUGAUGAGAAUGAAUCUAUGUAUGCAUGAGUUGCUUCUAAUCUUAGAUAAAUUUUGCAUAAUGAUCAAGUUCCUUGUUCUUGAGUGAUAACCACCUUGGAAUAAUAACAUUUGAAUCCUUCUUUUCAUUCAUAUUAGACCAUUGCUUACCUAGCCAAAUGAUUGAGAUCAUGUGUCUAUUUGUGAGAAUUCAUCUUGGGUGUGUGUGUGUGAAUCAAUGUGAGAGCUGGUUGAAGGAACUUGUUAGUUGAUGAGUAUUGCAACUUGAGUAAAGGCAUAAGAGUAUGGAUAAGCCUAGAGAAGCUAGAGUAUAAUAAGGGAGUUACUCAUGCUAUUUGCUAUGUUUCUCUUGGGAUGUUAGGUUGAAGGCUAGAAAGUGUCUCUUUUGGUUAUGUAUUUCCAUUUUCAAUUCCCUCCUCUUUGAUUGAUCUUGAAUGUUUACUUGAGGACAAGUAAAGGAAUAGUGUGGGGGAGUUGAUAUCUCAUGAUUUUAAUGAGUUUUAGAUUUAUAUUUUAGCUUAUUAUGAUUAUUUUAGGUUGCAUUUAGGUCUUUAUGUUGCAUUUGCAUACUCAUUUGCAUAUCAUAGGGGUUGGAAUGCACAUUUAGAAGUUUUGGGCAACAUUGGAAAGUUAUUGUUGCAAGUCAAAUACUUUUGAGUCAGAAAUGAAAGAAGGCGAGAAUCCAGGGACCGAAGUUGCAAAUGCAGAAAUUCGGUGGGGUUAAAUUGCACAAUCAAAAGUUAAGGGGCUAAAGUAAGGAUGUUUCUGCAAUUUACAAAGUUGUGGGCUCUUUUGUAACAAAUCCAAAGUUCGAGGACCUGCUGUGCAAAAUGGAAGAAACCACCAUUGGAGAAGAUCGAGAGCUUCCUCUUCGCCGGACCUGAGUUUGAUUCAGCUCACCGGAGGUCGCAGAGAGGAGAUAAGCACGGAGACGGCUUGACCUUGAGAUUCAGAAGCUGAAGAGAUCCCGUAGUGGAAAGCUUGGCGGAGGAGAGACGACGAUUGAAGCUUGAUGGCUGCGACGGCGAGAAGCACUCCGGAGCUUCAGGACGUGCUGUCACGGCUCGAGCUGAGACCACGACGGUGAUUCUGAGCACAGCCACGGAAUGAUGACGACGACGGCACGUCGAGAUGUCGAGAAGAAGAAAUGAGGAACUCCACGCGGGUUGAGCAACUUGGGAAGCUGUACCCGCUCGCACCGGAAGAGACGUCAACACCAGUCUCACGCGGGGAAGGACGACGCGGGGAGCUGUACCCGCUCGCAUGAACUGAAGGCGUGGCGACGGCUUAACGCGGGGAAGCUUACGCGGGUGGAGCGACGAUCCCUACCCCGCGCCGAGACUUAUCUUUAAUCGAAUUUUAAUGUUUUUUUUAAGGGUUUUUUUAGACUUUUUAAUGGGAACCAUUAGGUUUACCAAAGACAUAUAAAUACUCUUGUAAUCCUAAAGUUAGGAUCUAUCUUAUUUUCUAUCUAAUCACAAAGAACUUUGAGUUUAAA
rnacentral:lncRNA from 1 species